CUCAUCUGGUAGUGCAAACCGUCAGAGCUGCACUGCGACUGUCUACUCACAGUCACCGUACCAAUGAUCUUGUGCAUAUAUUUCCACCACAAUUAACUCCAAACGCUUUGUUUAUGAUUGUUUCCACACUCAUUUUUCUCAUUUAAUUCGGUUUUUUUUUCAUCAUUAUACUUGAGUGUGUCCAUUAUCUAAUAACGGUCUCUAAUGAUUAGAUAAAAUGUAUUUCAUGAAAACAAUUAUAUGAUGAUAUUAGAAACAAAUUUCUCACAUUAAUUUAUUAACAGGAAAGGUUAAUUAGAUUUAGGUUAACAUGUUUUUGAAAGUCAUCUAAGAAAAUAUUAGGUGCAUUAUCGAUCUGAGAUCUGAUUAUAAAGUUUAUAUUAUUUUAAUCUAACACUAAUAUUAAUUCAUUUAGUUUCAAAUAAUUAUACCUCCUGACUAAUAAAUACUUAAAAAAUGAUUGCACACAUCAAUUAUUUAGCCUACUUUUUUUUACACACUGCUAAAAUGAUUGCACCUAAUAUCAUUAUCUUAUACAUGUUUUUGUAUUUUGCCAGGUGUGAAUUAUAUACACAAAUAAUAAUUGUUUGCAAAACAAAUACAUUUUUCAUUUUAAAUUCU